GCUUUUCACAUAUAAUCAUUACACUUCCCUAAUUUCAAGAUGUUAAGAUGUGUAACCAUGUUUAAUGGAGAUUAAGAAAGUUAACUCCCUUUUCUCGCCCCUUCUUGUCCCAUAGGCUGAGCUCCUCCAUUGUAACUAAGGAAUCUCCUUCAUUUGGAAAACAUACCUUGAAGAUUGAAUGCAAUUCUUCUUAUGAGUUUUUGAGAGUUUGAGAGUUCUCUUCCCUUGUUCUUAUAUAGAGAUGUUCUUCUCAAGUGGUGAAUCACCUAGCACUUAUCCUUUAAUUCUUGGAUUAUAGCCUGGAUGGUGUUCUGAACCUGACAGCUGAUCUCCUGCAUCUCAUUUUGACGAUCCAAGAGACGAGCCUCUAGCUCUAUGCGUUUCAGCCGCUCAUCCUCUAGAUGGGACUCAACCUCAACAAGUCUAGCUCUUAUUUCAUCGCAUUCUUUCCUAGCAUUCUCUGUCUCUCUCUUUUGGGCAUCUAAUUCAGCCUGCAGCUGUUGAAUUUUAUUGGAGCUCGAUGACGAUGAUGACCUUAGUUCUGCUCCAAAAGGACCAAAACCACGCACAUAUGAUUUCUUACCAACCAAUGUUUGGAAGGCAGUACUAAUAAUUUCUUCUUCAUUUGUUUCUCCCCCUUCCUGUGAAUAUUCUAUUUGGCAUCUUUUCUCAUUAAUUUGUUGAGCAGCUUUGUCCUAUGAACAAUUGAUCAUUUAGAGAAGACAGUGAAUAUCAAAUCAAACUAUGCAGAAAAAAAAUAUAAC
rnacentral:sRNA from 1 species